rnacentral:rRNA from 1 species
AAUCAACGCUGGCGGCGCGCUUAACACAUGCAAGUCGAGCGAGAAAGGGGAGCAAUCCCUGAGUACAGCGGCGUACGGGUGAGUAACACGUGGGUGAUCUACCUUCUAGUGUGGAAUAACCCUGGGAAACCGGGGCUAAUACCGCAUAAGCCUGUGAAGGGAAAGCAGCAAUGCGCUGGAAGAGGAGCCCGCGGCCGAUUAGCUAGUUGGUGAGGUAACGGCCCACCAAGGCGAUGAUCGGUAGCCGGCCUGAGAGGGCACACGGCCACACUGGCACUGAAACACGGGCCAGACUCCUACGGGAGGCAGCAGUGGGGAAUCUUGCACAAUGGAGGCAACUCUGAUGCAGCGACGCCGCGUGAGCGAUGAAGCCCUUCGGGGUGUAAAGC